rnacentral:rRNA from 1 species
GUGGGGAAUUUUGGACAAUGGGCGAAAGCCUGAUCCAGCCAUGCCGCGUGCAGGAUGAAGGCCUUCGGGUUGUAAACUGCUUUUGUACGGAACGAAAAGACUCUGGUUAAUACCUGGGGUCCAUGACGGUACCGUAAGAAUAAGCACCGGCUAACUACGUGCCAGCAGCCGCGGUAAUACGUAGGGUGCGAGCGUUAAUCGGAAUUACUGGGCGUAAAGCGUGCGCAGGCGGUGCUGUAAGACAGGCGUGAAAUCCCCGGGCUCAACCUGGGAAUUGCGCUUGUGACUGCAGUGCUGGAGUGCGGCAGAGGGGGAUGGAAUUCCGCGUGUAGCAGUGAAAUGCGUAGAUAUGCGGAGGAACACCGAUGGCGAAGGCAAUCCCCUGGGCCUGCACUGACGCUCAUGCACGAAAGCGUGGGGAGCAAACAGGAUUAGAAACCCCAGUAGGUCC